CAUAGUGGUGAGCGGGGUGUUACAUCCCCAUCUUAAAAAAUUUGGUCCACCAAAUUUGUCUCGAAUAGGUUCAAAAACUUUUCCCUUAUCUCGCUUUACAAUUCCCACGUUCCCUCUUCCGGAGUAUGGUGCUACCACUGCACCUUCACCAUGGGGAUCAUCUUGUUGCAUAAAAUUUUGUCGGUACAAUCAAGAAUUUUUACAGAGAGUUCCUCAUAGGUCAUAG
rnacentral:lncRNA from 1 species